GGCGGCGUGCCUAAUACAUGCAAGUCGAGCGAAUGGAUUGAGAGCUUGCUCUCAAGAAGUUAGCGGCGGACGGGUGAGUAACACGUGGGUAACCUGCCCAUAAGACUGGGAUAACUCCGGGAAACCGGGGCUAAUACCGGAUAACAUUUUGAACUGCAUGGUUCGAAAUUGAAAGGCGGCUUCGGCUGUCACUUAUGGAUGGACCCGCGUCGCAUUAGCUAGUUGGUGAGGUAACGGCUCACCAAGGCAACGAUGCGUAGCCGACCUGAGAGGGUGAUCGGCCACACUGGGACUGAGACACGGCCCAGACUCCUACGGGAGGCAGCAGUAGGGAAUCUUCCGCAAUGGACGAAAGUCUGACGGAGCAACGCCGCGUGAGUGAUGAAGGCUUUCGGGUCGUAAAACUCUGUUGUUAGGGAAGAACAAGUGCUAGUUGAAUAAGCUGGCGCCUUGACGGUACCUA
rnacentral:rRNA from 1 species